UUCCAGGCCCAGAGUUAUCCUAGGUUUCUCCGACACUUCGCAUAUGGAGUUUCAGCGCUCUCCUCUCCGUUGUGAUUUUGUUAUUGUUGAUCGGCUUUACGUUCUCCUCUCCGUAACGGCGCAUUGAUUCAUACAACAAAAUUGAUCUUGAAACUCCUUGAGCUCGAAGCUCCCAUCAAGAUCUACGGUGAUAUUCAUGGACAGUACUCGGGUUUGUUGAGGCUGUUUAGAUACGGAGGCUUCCCUCCUACAGCUAACUAUUUAUUCUUAGGAAAUUAAAUGGACCGAAGAACCAACCUGAUGAAGUUGAAGCAAAGUUGUUCAAGGAGAGCUGGAAAAGACAGCUCAGAAGCUAAAUAUCAGAAGCUGUAUCAGCCUUUGUAUACUAAGUUAUAAAAAUGAUCUUCAGUUCUGUAAUCUCAUGAGAUCUUAACUGAUAAAAGUUUGAAUAUUAAGUCUUCUCUCUGUUGCUUCUUACUUAUAACAUCAGUAGUAUUGUGUGUUUCCUUCUUAUGUAUCAUACAUGCUUAGAAAUUA